rnacentral:rRNA from 1 species
CCCUUAGAUGUUCUGGGCCGCACACGCGCUACACUGAAGGAGGCAGCGUGUACUCCUGGAUCGAAAGAUUUGGGUAACCCGCGAAUCUCCUUCGUGCUAGGGAUUGAGGUUUGCAAUUAUCCUUCAUGAACGAGGAAUUCCCAGUAAGUGCAAGUCAUAAGCUUGCGCUGACUACGUCCCUGCCCUUUGUACACACCGCCCGUCGCUACUACCGAUUGAAUGAUUUAGUGAGGACUUCGGACUGGGACCGAUGCGGCUUUCGGGCUGCGUCGGUGUUCUGGAAAGAUGUCCAAACUGUAUCAUUUAGAGGAAGUAAAAGUCGUAACA